GACGAACGCUGGCGGCGUGCUUAACACAUGCAAGUCGAACGGAAAGGCCCUGCUUUUGUGGGGUGCUCGAGUGGCGAACGGGUGAGUAACACGUGAGUAACCUGUCCUUGACUUUGGGAUAACUUCAGGAAACUGGGGCUAAUACCGGAUAGGAGCUCCUGCUGCAUGGUGGGGGUUGGAAAGUUUCGGCGGUUGGGGAUGGACUCGCGGCUUAUCAGCUUGUUGGUGGGGUAGUGGCUUACCAAGGCUUUGACGGGUAGCCGGCCUGAGAGGGUGACCGGCGACAUUGGGACUGAGAUACGGCGCAGACUCCUACGGGAGGCAGCAGUGGGGAAUAUUGCACAAUGGGCGGAAGCCUGAUGCAGCAACGCCGCGUGCGGGAUGACGGCCUUCGGGUUGUAAACCGCUUUCGCCUGUGACGAAGCGUGAGUGACGGUAAUGGGUAAAGAAGCACCGGCUAACUACGUG
rnacentral:rRNA from 1 species